AGCAGUGUGGUGUAGUGGUCAGAGUGUUGGACUAUGACUCUGGAGACCAGGGUUUGAAUCCCCGCUCAACCC